GGGGCCUUAGCUCAGCUGGGAGAGCGCCUGCUUUGCACGCAGGAGGUCAGCGGUUCGAUCCCGCUAGUCUCCACCA
rnacentral:tRNA from 2 species